UACGUAGGGUCCGAGCGUUGUCCGGAGUUACUGGGCGUAAAGGGCGCGCAGGCGGCGGUGCUGGCCCGGCGUGAAAGCCCCCGGCUCAACCGGGGAGGGUCGUCGGGGACCGCACCGCUUGAGGGCGGUAGGGGCCGGUGGAAUGCCUGGUGUAGUGGUGAAAUGCGUAGAGAUCAGGCAGAACACCUGGGGCGAAGGCGGCCGGCUGGGCCGUCCCUGACGCUGAGGCGCGAAGGCGUGGGGAGCGAACGGG
rnacentral:rRNA from 1 species